rnacentral:rRNA from 1 species
AGCUCCAAUAGCGUAUAUUAAAGUUGUUGCAGUUAAAAAGCUCGUAGUUGGAUUUGUGGGUGGAGCGAAUGUCCCGACGCUUAGCGUGGGUGAUGUUCGUCUCCGUCCAUCUUUGGGUGGAAUCUGUGUGGCAUUAAGUUGUCGUGCAGGGGAUGCCCAUCUUUUACUGUGAAAAAAUUAGAGUGUUCAAAGCAGGCUGUCACAGCCCGAAUACAUGAGCAUGGAAUAAUGGAAUAGGACCGCGGUUCUAUUUUGUUGGUUUCUACGACCGCAGUAAUGAUUAAGAGGGACAAUUGGGGGCAUCCGUAUUUCGUUGUCAGAGGUGAAAUUCUUGGAUUUACGAAAGACGAACAACUGCGAAAGCAUUUGCCAAGAGUGUUUUCAUUAAUCAAGAACGAAA